rnacentral:rRNA from 1 species
UAAGGAAUAUUGGACAAUGGAGGCAACUCUGAUCCAGCCAUGCCGCGUGAAGGAAUAAGGCCCUAUGGGUUGUAUACUUCUUUUAGACGGGACAAAACCCCUUUACGUGUAAAGGGUUGAUGGUACUGUCAGAAUAAGCAUCGGCUAACUUCGUGCCAGCAGCCGCGGUAAUACGAAGGAUGCAAGCGUUAUCCGGAAUUAUUGGGUUUAAAGGGUGCGUAGGCGGACUAAUAAGUCAGUGGUGAAAGCCUGCAGCUUAACUGCAGAAUUGCCAUUGAUACUGUUAGUCUUGAGUACAGUUGAGGUAGGCGGAAUGUGUCAUGUAGCGGUGAAAUGCUUAGAUAUGACACAGAACACCGAUUGCGAAGGCAGCUUGCUAAGCUGUAACUGACGCUGAGGCACGAAAGCGUGGGGAGCAAACA